GCCCCUGUGGCCUAAUGGAUAAAGCAUCGGCCUCCUAAGCCAGGGAUUGUGGGUUCGAGUUCCACCAGGGGUA
rnacentral:tRNA from 1 species